rnacentral:rRNA from 1 species
CCUACGGGUGGCUGCAGUGGGGAAUAUUGCACAAUGGGCGCAAGCCUGAUGCAGCGACGCCGCGUGGGGGAUGACGGCCUUCGGGUUGUAAACUCCUUUCGUUAGGGACGAAGCCGCACCUUUUUUGGGUGUGGUGACGGUACCUUUGUUAAGAAGCACCGGCUAACUACGUGCCAGCAGCCGCGGUAAUACGUAGGGUGCGAGCGUUGUCCGGAAUUACUGGGCGUAAAGAGCUCGUAGGUGGUUUGUUGCGUCGUCUGUGAAAUUCCGGGGCUUAACUUCGGGGGGGCAGGCGAUACGG